rnacentral:rRNA from 1 species
GACGAACGCUGGCGGCGUGCUUAACACAUGCAAGUCGAACGGUGAAGCGCUUUCCUUUUUGGUUGGUGUGGAUGAGUGGCGAACGGGUGAGUAACACGUGAGUAACCUGCCCCCUUCUUCUGGAUAACCGCAUGAAAGUGUGGCUAAUACGGGAUAUUCUGCGCCUGCUGCAUGGUGGGUGUGGGAAAGAUUGUGCCUUUGGGUGUUUUCGGUGGGGGAUGGGCUCGCGGCCUAUCAGCUUGUUGGUGGGGUGAUGGCCUACCAAGGCGGUGACGGGUAGCCGGCCUGAGAGGGUGGACGGUCACACUGGGACUGAGACACGGCCCAGACUGCUACGGGAGGCAGCAGUGGGGAAUAUUGCACAAUGGGCGCAAGCCUGAUGCAGCGACGCCGCGUGAGGGAUGGAGGCCUUCGGGUUGUGAACCUCUUUCGCCAGUGAAGCAGGCCUGCUCCUUGUGGGUGGGUUGACGGUAGCUGGAUAAGAAGCGCCGGCUAACUACGUG